rnacentral:RNase_P_RNA from 1 species
UCAUCCGAACGGGAGACCGCCGCCCGCGUUUUUUUGUAUCGCCGGCGGAGGAACUUCCGGACUCCAAGGGCAGGGCGCCGUACGAAAGUACGGGAGACGCGGGCAACACCCCGCGCCGACGGAAAGCGCAACAGAAAACAUACCGCCCGCUUCGGUUUGCUGAAGCGCGGUAAGGGUGAAAUGGCGGGGUAAGAGCCCGCCGCGCGGCCGGCAACGGCCGCGGCAUUGCAAACCCCGCUCGGAGCAAGGCCAAAUAUGCCGAUGCAGGGCCCCUGCGCCAAGGCAGAGUAGGCCGCAGAGAUAAAUGGUCUCCGCCCCGCGCUUACGCAAGGGGAACAGAAUCCGGGGUAUAGUUCGGAUACAAUU